AAAAUGGCAACUGAAUCGCACGCACGUACUCCUGCCCUCGAGCGAGACCUCCUGCCCUCGAGCGAAACGAGGCUCCCUCGCACGAACCAGAGGCAUCCCUCGAUCUAUUUCCUAGGGCAUGAACGCCGCCGCCACCGCCAGUCCACCACCACCGCAGAAUCCUCAUCCGGCAAUGUCUUUCUCUUCCGCCCCCGGCGUCGGCGCGACCUCUGAGAUCGCCGCAGCCUGUGCGGAAACCCACAUCAGGGCAGGACCCAUAAGAGGGUAUGCUUGUGGGCCGCUGCCGCCGCCGUUAUCGUGGAACCCUAGGGCAGGGCAUGGUCGCGUUGCGGGCAGCGAGGAGCGGCGCAAGACCAUGCCGGCUAUUCCCUACACCAUGCAAAACCCUAGCUCCCGUCUGAUACGCACUGCAUCUUCCCCCUUCGGUAGAUCUUCGAGUACAACGGGAGUGCCGUGGUGGCGAUGGCGGGGAAGAACUGCUUCGUGAUCGCCAGCGACCGGCGCCUGGGCUUGUAGCUGCAGACAGUCGCCACUGACUUCCAGAGGGUGUUCAAGAUCCACGGCAAGUUGUACAUUGGCCUCUCUGGCCUUGCCACGGACGCCCAGGUGUUGUUGGUCUUGAAUCCUCAAUUGGCGGUUUCUGGUCGUUAGCUGAUCGCCCCUAUUUGGUGGCUUUCGUUGGUUUAGGGUUUGGGUUUGACAUGUGUGCUGUGUUACGUGUUUGUAGGUACUAGCGGUUGGUGUUCAAGCAUGAACUGUACCAGCUUCGGGAGGAGAGGGACAUGAAGCCUGAGACCUUUGCCAGCCUUGUCUCCACCCUCCUCUAAGAGAAAUGGUGAGAUGCUUCAAGUAUUGGGACUCUUGGUAGCUUGAUUUAGAGCAUUGUGCUAUUGUGGUCGUGUUAAGAGUAGAAAACAUGAACCAGCGCUGAGCAUGGGACGUAAAUUUAGACUUGUUGAAUUGCAUUGUGUCAACUGGUUGACUAUCCGAAGUAGCGUUGGUGUGCCUUCUAUUGGAUUAAUAUCCACAUAAUUUGGGAUAAAAAAUGAUGACCCAUGAUAUAGCUGGUGCUAGAAUUUGAAAUAUUACCCUCUGGUACAUAUGUUCAUAUUUUGCUGAUGUAAUUGUGCAAUUCUUCAUGUGGCAGUCUGAUUCAUAAAUCAUAUUUUUGAUUAUUUGAAAUGUGUAGAAUGUUUGUGUAGACACUGUAUAUUUUUUCUCUUGUCCUUCUGUCUUAUUACCACCCCUUGUAUUUGCUGAACUAUGGGACAGCUAACAGAGUUAUUUGAUGAUAUUGUGGCAAACUAAUUCAUAAAUCAUAUUUUUGAUUAGCCGAAAUGUGCAGGAUCUAUGUGAAGAUACAUUAUAACUAUUUUUUUCUUGCCCUCCUGUCCUAUUACCACCCCUUAUGUUUGCUUAAGUAUGGGGACAGCUAACCGAGUUAUUCCAUGACAUUUAGGUUUGGGCCAUACUUCUGCCAACCAAUUAUUUUUGGGCUAGGUGAAAAUGAUUAGCCAUUUAUAUGUACCAUGGACUGCAUUGGUGCCAAGUAUGCAUCAUUUAUUUUUCUGACAAUUCUAAGCCAGCGCAAGAAGAAAACAAAGUAUUAUCACAUGCCAUUGAGGAUGAUCAGGAGUACUAGCGCCCUGUCCGUCCAUGCUCCCCAUCACCGCCGUUGCCGCUGCCAUUGCUAAGGAGGACUGCUGACACUAAUGCUACGAGCUGCCCACAUCAUGACCAUCAGGGUGUUUGCUCAGUCUGCAUUGCUGCUGUUAUAUGCUGGCGGGCGUGUUGGCGUGUUGCCGCCCGAACCAGAUUUCAAGGUAAUAAAAACUCUACACGGAGAUACAUGCAAUGCAGGUGACAAUGCACAACCAAGCUCCCAAACCGAGCCUGGUUGAAGGAUGGUCGUCCGCCAUCCCGUGUGUCGCUGGCAUCGGGUAUAUAGCCAUCUUCACCAGCCAGUACAUCCACCUGUUGUUGAGGGCUGGAAGUCAUUGCGCUACUGGACAUAGCCAAGUGCGUAUGUGCUAUUGCACGAAUGUAAAGGGCUUCUGAGAAAGGAAGAGCAAUCGCUGCUGCUGUUGAGGGUGUUGAGAAGCAUUGGGGAACAUCUGUAUCUGGUCCCAAGUCCCAACACUUUUGUUGAAACUCUUCAUGAACGGAUGUUUAGGAAAUCACUGUCCAGAAUUAUAUAUGAGACUUCAAAGUAGCUCAAGAGAUAUAUUGAUGCAAGUUAUAGCCCAAAAUCUUCCACCCAAGUCUACUACAAUCCAGAAGGUCAUGACCCAGAGUCCAAAAUGUGCCAUGAUUGAUAUCCCGAUCGUUGAAGCCCUACACACAAUGCAUGAUUGAAAAUUUCUGCAUUUGCCUGUUCUAGACAGGAGUAUGUGGAAAAAUGAGCAAUGGAGUUGAUCUAAUUCAACUUUUUUUGUGAAGGCUGUUAAAUUAUGAAUAAUGACUUGUCAUUAUCCAGAUGGGAGUGUCGUAACUGUUGUUGAUGUCCUUCAAAUAACUCAUGCUGCAAUUGCAACAGUGGAAACAGUGGAGCAACGGGCUCCGAGGUGACUUCUUUUAUGGUGCAGAGCUUCUGGGAUCUAACAAUGUCAACUGGGCCUCGAUGAUGAUGAUGAUUCCAGAAGGAUCAACUAAAGUGGCAUCCGAGACAAUAGAAAAUGGGAAGAUCAGCCUUCUUUCUGGCGUCAGGCUUAUCAAACACUUUUGGGUUCAAGAUUCAGGACAAACAAGGCAUGAUGCACAUAUUUAACUCUGGUAUGCACUGUCAUUUUGUUAUCACGCUAGCUGGAGUUGUACCAUCGCUCUUUUCCCAUGUCAUGCCCAGUAAUUUAUAUUAUAGCGUGUAAGGUUCAAGUGUGAUGUUCAAAUUUCAGACACGAGUAGACUGACAGAAUUGAUAAUGUUGAUUCUUUAAUCACUUCGCAAUGACGUUGAUAAAUCGAACCUACCUCAAAUUCUGGUAUUGGUCAAGCUCCAUUGUCUACAUAUGUGCCUAUAUACCUAUAUCACUAUGUCAGUUCUCUAAGGUUUCUUCUUUUCCUGAUACCAUUUGAUAGUACGAAGAUGAUGAUCACCAUACUCUCAUCGGAUACCGACCUUAUACCGGCUGUGGACCAUGCAAAACAAAUCGGUUGGAAGGUAAUAGGAGGCAAAUUCAACCUUCACCUUUAUUCAUACAACAUUACUUAAUGAGAAUAUAAGAACAUAACUGGAUGGGCUCACAUUUAUUUGUUGUGUCAUAUACUAUACAAGGAGAUACAAUCUGUCAUACUUUUUAGUUUUGUAUAGGUCGCGCUAAGGAUUCAACAAAUGAUGACCAAUGUGAUGUGCAAAGAUAAGAGUAAUAGACCAUCCGAAGUUUACUACAUGUUCUUGUCUUCUUUGUCUAUUGCAUAUUUUUUCUUGUAACAUUUGAUAUAUUCAAAUAAAGUGCAAGUUGUGACUGAAAGAGUAGACAUUUUUUAUUUAUGUAAAAUUUGGCAACAAAAAAUUGUAGUCUUACCAAUCAUGCGGUGUGGCUGCUCACCGGCGCCGUAGAAGUGGGGGUUUAGAGGUAUGGCUAGGGGCAACGGUGGACCAUCGGAGAAGGUGGCUCAGGCAGGGCGGCAUACGACAUUGGCACCAGCUGCAACCAGUGCCGAAAGGUGGGUGAUGGGAACUCAAGGAGGUAGAAGACGACAACGAGCAUGGAAUUUUAGAAGAGGGGGUGGGGUGGGGUAGAGGGAUGGUCGGGGGCAACGGUGGAUCUAAGGCGAAGGCGACUCUGGGCAGGGGAAGAAAAGGAGGAUGCAUAACUUCAGAUCUGAUUGAAUGCAGUCAGAAGAUGGAGACUUGAAGGAGGAAUUAGUGAAGAAUGGGAGGGUGAAUAGAAUAAGGAAACCAAUCAAAUACGUGUAGGUAUGACAUGGUGCUUUUUUUAAUCUCUUGAGGAUGUCAAUAUUUUUCUACAGUUACAUAUAUACAACUGAAUCUUAAAGGGAAAAAAUGAUUAGGUACACCAUAGAAUUAAUCUCACUUGGUUUAUUUAUUACUCUGUUUUUAUCAACCAACAUGCUUGCCAAAUUUAUAAUUUGUUAUUUGCUUACCCCACUGCAAUAUUCUCCUAAGACAUACUCCCUCCGUCCCAAAAUUCUUGUCUUAGAUUUGUCUAAAUACGGAUGUAUCAACUAUCAAGUCACGUUUUAGUAUUAGAUAUAUCCGUAUCUAGACUAAUUUAAGACAAGAAUUUUGGGACGGAGGGAGUAUAUAUGUGUACUCGGACAGAAUCACAAAAGCUUUGUGUCUUGAUGUGCAUUGGUUGAUUAAAUGUCCGUGUAUAUCUGCUUAAUUUUCUAACCAAACAUAAAAGCUUUGUGUCUUGACAUGUUCAUAGAAGUGACGGGAUUCAUGAUACAAGCCUAAUAAUUUGAAAAUAUUUUUACGGU